rnacentral:lncRNA from 1 species
GGACGGCAUGGAAGAACACCAGUAAGCCAGUGACUCAGCCCCCAUAAUAGGGUUAGAGGCAGAGAAUCCCAGUGGAGAGAGGGGAACCGGCCAGGCAGAGACAGCAAGGGCGGUUCGUUGCUCCAGUGCCUUUCUGUUCACCUUCACACUCCUGGGCCAGACUACACUUAAUCAUAGGACCUACUGAAGAGAUGAGUUUUCAAUAAAGACUUAAAGGUUGAGACCGAGUCUGCGUCUCUCACAUGGAAUGUGGUGAUCGAUGGUAUCAAAAGCAGCACUAAGGUCUAGGAGCACGAGGACAGAUGCAGAGCCUCGGUCUGAUGCCAUUAAAAGGUAAUUUACCACCUUCACAAGUGCCGUCUCAGUGCUACGAUGGGGUUUAAAACCAGACUGAAGCGUUUCGUAUACAUUGUUUUUUUUCAGGAAGGCAGUGAGUUGCUGAGCAACAGCUUUUUCAAAAAUUUUUGAGAGGAAUGGGAGAUUCAAUAUAGGCAGAUAGUUUUUAUAUUUUCUGGGUCAAAGUUUGGCUUUUUCAAUAGAGGCUUUAUUACUGCCACUUUUAGUGAGUUUGGUACACAUCCGGUGGAUAGAGAGCCGUUUAUUAUGUUCAACAUUGGAGGGCCAAGCACAGGAAGCAGUUCUUUCAGUAGUUUAGUUGGAAUAGGGUCCAGUAUGCAGCUUGAAGGUUUAGAGGCCAUGAUUAUUUUCAUCAUUGUGUCAAGAGAUAUAGUACUAAAACACUUGAGUGUCUCCCUUGAUCCUAGGUCCUGGCAGAGUUGUGCAGACUCAGGACAACUGAGCUUUGGAGGAAUAUGCAGAUUUAAAGAGGAGUCUGUAAUUUGCUUUCUAAUGAUCAUGAUCUUUUCCUCAAAGAAGUCCACUGCUGAAGUGAAAGCCAUCCUCUCUUGGGGAAUGCUGCUUUUUAGUUAGCUUUGCGACAGUAUCAAAAAUACAUUUUGGAUUGUUCUUAUUUUCCUCAAUUAAGUUGGAAAAUAGCAUGAUCGAGCAGCAGUGAGGGCUCUUCGAUACUGCACGGU